rnacentral:rRNA from 1 species
CGUCAACCUCUGGCUCAAGGACCCUCACACACCGCUGCAUCCCACGGAGGAGCAGCGCGAGCCUUUCGAGCACCUGCCCGAGCCGCAACAGACCUACUACUCGGUCAUCCACAGCGCGGACCGGCACAUCGGCCGUCUUCUCGAUGCGCUCGACAAGCUAAGGGUCGCCGACAGUACGCUUGUUGUCUUCGCCAGUGACAAUGGGCCGGAGCACGUGCGCGAGCACGUAGGGACCUACGGCUCCGUGCUCAACCUGCGCGGGCGCAAGCACUGCCUGUUCGACGGCGGCAUCCGCGUACCGUUCAUUGUGCGCUGGCCCGGGCACACCCCGGGGGGCAAGGUCU